UACGGAGGGUGCAAGCGUUAAUCGGAAUUACUGGGCGUAAAGCGUGCGUAGGCGGUUCGUUAAGUCUGCUGUGAAAGCCCCGGGCUCAACCUGGGAAUGGCAGUGGAUACUGGCGAGCUAGAGUGUGUCAGAGGAUGGUGGAAUUCCCGGUGUAGCGGUGAAAUGCGUAGAGAUCGGGAGGAACAUCAGUGGCGAAGGCGGCCAUCUGGGACAACACUGACGCUGAGGAGCGAAAGCGUGGGGAGCGAACAGG
rnacentral:rRNA from 1 species